GGGGACGAAACGGAUUCGACGGGGAUGUGUAAGCUCGUCGUUGCAUGCCGAGCUUCUAUUUGCUCGUAAAACUGAUAGAAAAACAAUUAUAAUCGCCGACGAUUAUAACUACGCAGUAGCAGCUUAAUAACCUGCUCAUUGCCGUUCCCCCAGUCUUCGCCCGUAAGACUGGACCGGAGCGCCGACCUAACGGGCUGGCUUCGUUGAUGGUGUCUGUACUUCAACUGGCGAGAACUUCAUAGACUAGCAUUGGAUCGCCACGUUUCCGCGGCAAGUCCAACGCGAAACUUAAGCCGGAAACUAAGCAUGUAGAUACGAGAGGGGAGCAUUUGCGGACGCGGGUUCGACUCCCGCCGUCUCCACCA
rnacentral:tmRNA from 1 species